GAUGAACGCUGGCGGCGUGCUUAACACAUGCAAGUCGAACGGAAAGGCCCAAGCUUGCUUGGGUACUCGAGUGGCGAACGGGUGAGUAACACGUGGGUGAUCUGCCCUGCACUUCGGGAUAAGCCUGGGAAACUGGGUCUAAUACCGGAUAGGACCACAUUUUGGAUGGUGUGGUGGAGAGUUUUUCGGUGUGGGAUGAGCUCGCGGCCUAUCGGCUUGUUGGUGGGGUAAUGGCCUACCAAGGCGUCGACGGGUAGCCGGCCUGAGAGGGUGUACGGCCACAUUGGGACUGAGAUACGGCCCAGACUCCUACGGGAGGCAGCAGUGGGGAAUAUUGCACAAUGGGCGCAAGCCUGAUGCAGCGACGCCGCGUGGGGGAUGACGGCCUUCGGGUUGUAAACUCCUUUCGCUAGGGACGAAGCGUUAUGUGACGGUACCUGGAGAAGAAGCACCGGCUAACUACGUG
rnacentral:rRNA from 1 species